UGUCCAGUAACUCCUAUCCCUACCUCCCCGUGGUGCCGCCUGGGGUACGAGUAAUCGUAGGCAACAUUGGGUAACCAACCCUGACAGGGAAGGCUCCUCUCUUCUGUAUGCUGACAGGGAAGG
rnacentral:ribozyme from 1 species